ACGCUCGACACCUACGGGAGCAGCAGUGGGGGAUAUUGCGCAAUGGGGGAAACCCUGACGCAGCAACGCCGCGUGAAGGACGAAGGUUUUCGGAUUGUAAACUUCUUUUGUUAGGGACGAAGAAAUGACGGUACCUGACGAAUAAGCUCCGGCUAACUACGUGCCAGCAGCCGCGGUAAUCUGAGCGGGCUGGCAAGGC
rnacentral:rRNA from 1 species